ACCCACGACUCAAGUCUGGUCCACGAUCAAUUACUCAACCCGUAACCCCCUUCUCUUCUUUCCUGCUAACUCUCUUCUUCCUACACGAUGCCAAACACCUAAGUCCUCAACAACACCUUCCCCUCAGAAGACCUUGCCCACAAGGUCGGGGAACUAUCGGCGAAGCUCCUCCAUGGCGACCCACGAAGAGUCCUCUUAUGGAACGUCACUCCAUUUGAUCAAGAGUUUGAUCAAAGCAUGGUUUUUAAGCUUAAUCAUUCGGCGAUCUAACACCCUUUCUGGUUCGAUGCGUAGGGAUACGUAGGAUCGACAGACGACAGCUCCGAUGAGGGAUUAAUACUCGAGCGAAUGUGUUUCUUGAAGAGGGAAACAUGAAACACGGGGUGGAUCAAGGAAUCGGGGUCAACUCCAGUCUGUAGGCGACUCCACCAAUAUUUUCCAAAACCUUGAAGGGUCUGAAGAAACUGGGGGAAAGUUUGGAACUUUGUCGUGUGGCUACACUUUGCUGUCGAUGCUUUUGUAGUUUGAGAGGUCUUGAUGCUGCUUCAUCCCCAAAACUAGCUUCUCCAGUUCCUUGAAUCGAGUACCCUCAGCAAUGGAUGAUUACUUCCAGGAAGCUUUAUUAGAUUUGUUCAGUUCUCAAUAUCUGCUUUAAUAGCCCAUUCUCCAAGUUGCUUGAUUCUUUUCUUGAAUUGGAAGAAGACAAAGUAGUGGCCUAGAGGGAAUCACUGUGUACCAAGAAGUGGUUGCUACGAUCAAGAUCAAUGGAAGAUUAAGUUUGUGUUAGGGACUUCUUUGUAUAUUGUUAAUAGAUUUAUAGAUUUGUUAAGUUUUUUAGUGUUUGAGUUCAAUGUAACCCAACUGUGUACCAGGGUGUUGACAUGUAAUGUGUCUUAGACAGUUUCAAAUGAGUUUAAUGGAAGAUAGCUUUUUUGCUAGAAGAGUUUCCUCUAACUUUUUGGCUUUUAACUAUGAUAUUACUGCUUGUA